GUGCGUAACGCGUAUGCAACCUACCUUUCACAGGGGGAUAGCCCGAAGAAAUUUGGAUUAAUACCCCAUAAUAUUAUUGGAUGGCAUCAUUUGAUAAUUAAAAUUACGAUGGUGAAAGAUGGGCAUGCGUCCUAUUAGCUAGUUGGAGUGGUAACGGCACCCCAAGGCUMCGAUAGGUAKGGGUCCUGAGAGGGAGAUCCCCCACACUGGUACUGAGACAGGGACCAGACUCCUACGGGAGGCAGCAGUGAGGAAUAUUGGUCAAUGGUCSGAAGWCUGAACCAGCCAUGCCGCGUGCAGGAAGAAUGCCUUAUGGGUUGUAAACUGCU
rnacentral:rRNA from 1 species